rnacentral:rRNA from 1 species
GACGAACGCUGGCGGCGUGCCUAAUACAUGCAAGUCGAGCGGACGAAUCGAAAGCUUGCUUUUGAUUCGUUAGCGGCGGACGGGUGAGUAACACGUGGGCAACCUGCCCUGUAGACGGGGAUAACACCGAGAAAUCGGUGCUAAUACCGGAUAACACGAAAUGUCGCAUGACGUUUCGUUGAAAGACGGCGCAAGCUGUCGCUACAGGAUGGGCCCGCGGCGCAUUAGCUAGUUGGUGAGGUAACGGCUCACCAAGGCGACGAUGCGUAGCCGACCUGGGAGGGUGAUCGGCCACACUGGGACUGAGACACGGCCCAGACUCCGACGGGAGGCAGCAGUAGGGAAUCUUCCGCAAUGGACGAAAGUCUGACGGAGCAACGCCGCGUGAGCGAAGAAGGCCUUCGGGUCGUAAAGCUCUGUUGUUAGGGAAGAACAAGUAACGCAGUAACUGGCGUUACCGUGACGGUACCUAACGAGAAAGCCACGGCUAACUACGUGCCAGCCGCCGCGGUAA